GAGGGUAUAGCUCAGUGGUAGAGUGCCUGCCUAGCAUGCAUGAGGUCCUGGCUUCAAUCUCCAGUACCUCCA
rnacentral:tRNA from 1 species